rfam:Megasphaera elsdenii strain DSM 20460 draft genome
CCUUCAUCCAGAGCAGCUGAGGGACUGGCCCGAUGACGCUGCGGCAACCCCCUAUCGGGAAGGUGCCAAUUCCAACGGAACAUUCCGACAGAUGAAAU